rnacentral:tRNA from 1 species
GACAGUCUGGCCGAGUGGUCUAAGGCGCCAGAUUUAGGCUCUGGUCCGAAAGGCGUCGGUUCAAAUCCCACAGCUGUCA